AGCCAGCCGUUGCUGGAUGGCGCGCUGGUCGUCACUGAGCUGGACCUGUGCGUCCAGAGGAACGCCAUCGAGCACCGCACGCAGCGCUUCGAGCGCGGCAUCACCGGGCCGGCUCUGGUCGUGCGUCGCGGCCAGGCCUUCGAGAUCUACAUUCGCUUCAACAGGAAAUACACAGAGGAUCGGGACAACAUCUCACUCAUCUUCAGCGUCGAUGGCGUGGAGGUGCCGUCGCUUGGCCACGGGACGCUGGAGGCCAUUCCGGUGACCCGCGAGGAGCCCACCUCCUCGGACGCCUGGCGCGUGCAGAUCGUGCAGAACGAGGGCGACAAGAUCACGCUCAGUGUGACACCAUCAGCCAAAUGCAA